rnacentral:tRNA from 1 species
GCCAUCUUAGCUCAGAGGUUAGAGCACCGCAUUUGUAAUGUGAGGGUCCGGUUCAAAUCCAAUAGUCGGCA